rnacentral:rRNA from 1 species
AUGCCUUAGUAACGGCGAGUGAAGCGGCAAAAGCUCAAAUUUGAAAUCUGGCGUCUUCGACGUCCGAGUUGUAAUUUGAAGAAGGCAACUUUGUAGCUGGUCCUUGUCUAUGUUCCUUGGAACAGGACGUCAUAGAGGGUGAGAAUCCCGUGUGGCGAGGAUCCCAGUUAUUUGUAAAGUGCUUUCGACGAGUCGAGUUGUUUGGGAAUGCAGCUCUAAGUGGGUGGUAAAUUCCAUCUAAAGCUAAAUAUUGGCGAGAGACCGAUAGCGAACAAGUACAGUGAUGGAAAGAUGAAAAGAACUUUGAAAAGAGAGUGAAAAAGUACGUGAAAUUGUUGAAAGGGAAGGGCAUUUGAUCAGACAUGGCGUUUGCUUCGGCUUUCGCUGGGCCAGCAUCAGUUUUAGCGGUUGGAUAAAUCCUCGGGAAUGUGGCUCUGCUUCGGUAGAGUGUUAUAGCCCGUGGGAAUACAGCCAGCUGGGACUGAGGAUUGCGACUUUUGUCAAGGAUGCUGGCGUAAUGGUUAAAUGCCGACCAUCUU